UUUAGCUGCAAGGAACAGCGCUUUUGUAAUCGCAUACUUUAUACAGUAUAUUUCAAGCUGUCAAUAUAAAAUAUACAGGCUGCAGGCGAGAUGGUGAUAAGCGAAAAGGUGACGAAAGCAACGUUUAGAAGGGUGGCGCCAAAUAAAAAAAAAGGUGUUCCCCACUUGUCACACCGCCUUUUCUAGUACCCAACAGUGCUCAGCAACCAGGCUCUUAUCCUGCUCUUA
rnacentral:lncRNA from 1 species